GACGAACGCUGGCGGCGUGCUUAACACAUGCAAGUCGAACGAAGUGGCGAACGGGUGAGUAACGCGUAAUCAACCUGCCCUUCAGAGGGGGACAACAGUUGGAAACGACUGCUAAUACCGCAUACUGAAGGAGGGGAUUGCGUCUGAUUAGGUAGUUGGGGGGGUAACGGCCCACCAAGGCGAUGAUCAGUAGCCGGGCUGAGAGGAUGAACGGCCACAUUGGGACUGAGACACGGCCCAGACUCCGACGGGAGGCAGCAGUGGGGAAUCUUUGGCAAUGGACGAAAGUCUGACUGAGCAACGCCGGGUGAGUGAUGACGGCCUUCGGGGUGUAAAGCUCUGUUAAGCGGGACGCGGUACCGGAAUAGAAAGCAACGGCUAACUACGUGCCAGCAGCCGCGGUAAUUC
rnacentral:rRNA from 1 species